rnacentral:rRNA from 1 species
AGUGAACGCUGGCGGUAGGCCUAACACAUGCAAGUCGAACGGCAGCACAGGAGAGCUUGCUCUCUGGGUGGCGAGUGGCGGACGGGUGAGGAAUACAUCGGAAUCUACUCUGUCGUGGGGGAUAACGUAGGGAAACUUACGCUAAUACCGCAUACGACCUACGGGUGAAAGCAGGGGACCUUCGGGCCUUGCCGGAGUGAAUGAGCCUAUGUCGGAUUAGCUAGUUGGCGGGGUAAAGGCCCACCAAGGCGACGAACCGUAGCUGGUCUGAGAGGAUGAUCAGCCACACUGGAACUGAGACACGGUCCAGACUCCUACGGGAGGCAGCAGUGGGGAAUAUUGGACAAUGGGCGCAAGCCUGAUCCAGCCAUACCGCGUGGGUGAAGAAGGCCUUCUGGUUGUAAAGCCCUUUUGUUGGGAAAGAAAUCCAGCUGGCUAAUACCCGGUUGGGAUGACGGUACCCAAAGAAUAAGCACCGGCUAACUUCGUGCCAGCCGCCGCAGUAA